ensembl:lncRNA
GGAAGUUCACACGGUCGACCUCGUGAACCGCAUGUGCUCAUUACUCCCUCUCACCUCACUCGACGGCACAAGAACAUGAUGAUGCUUUAGGAGACACAUCUCAGCACGCUGCUGAUGUGAAAACCGAGGGAAUUAGCUGCAAACCUCCACCGCCCACAGAACAA